GACGACAAGAAAAAGAAAGUGAUCAAGAAGAAAAAGAAAGUCGGUGAGGCUGGUGAAAACGAAGGAGCCGACGGAGAUGCCGAUGAAGGGGCAGAUAAGAAAAAGAAGAAAGUAAAGAAAAAGAAGAAGCUGGUAGCUGCUGCCAAUGCUGUCAUAGCAACGGGGAUAACAUCGGGUGCCGAACCAGUGAUACCAGCAGAGCCUCUUUCCAAUGGCGAGGAUGCACCAAACACAAACUCUGAACAAGAACAACAAGGGGAAAAUAAAAACAAAGGAGAGCCCUUUUUGCCAACUAUUGGGACUCCAAAGACUGCAAACAAACAUAGACCACAGUCGUCAGUUGUUCCCCUUCCGCAGAUUGACGCCACAGGGACAGACGCGGGAGGCGAUGAAAAG